rnacentral:rRNA from 1 species
AACGAACGCUGGCGGCAGGCUUAACACAUGCAAGUCGAACGCCCCGCAAGGGGAGUGGCAGACGGGUGAGUAACGAGUGGGAAUCUACCCAGAUCUACGGAACAACAGGUGGAAACGACUGCUAAUACCGUAUACGCCCUAAGGGGGAAAGAUAUAUCGGAUUAGGCUGAGACCGCGUUGGAUUAGAUAGUUGGUGGGGUAAUGGGCUACCAAGGCGACGAUCCAUAGCUGGUCUGAGAGGAUGAUCAGCCACACUGGCACUGAGACACGGCCCAGACUCCUACGGGAGGCAGCAGUGGGGAAUAUUGGACAGUGGGCGCAAUCCUGAUCCAGCCAUGCCGCGUGAGUGAUGAAGUCCUUAGGGUUGUAAAGCUCUUUCACCGAUGAAGAUAAUGACGGUAGUCGGAGAAGAAGCCCCGGCUAACUUCGUGCCAGCCGCCGCGGUAACAC